UACGAAGGGUGCAAACGUUGCUCGGAAUUAUUGGGCGUAAAGCGCACGUAGGCGGCAUCGCAAGUCCCAUGUGAAAGCCCACGGCUUAACCGUGGAAGUGCAUGGGAAACUGCAGUGCUUGAGUACUUAAGAGGAUCGCGGAAUUCCCGGUGUAGAGGUGAAAUUCGUAGAUAUCGGGAGGAACACCAGUGGCGAAGGCGGACGAUCUGGGAAGAUACUGACGCUGAGGUGCGAAAGCGUGGGGAGCAAACAGG
rnacentral:rRNA from 1 species